UACAGAGGUCUCAAGCGUUGUUCGGAUUCAUUGGGCGUAAAGGGUGCGUAGGUGGUCCGUUAAGUCCGUUGUGAAAUCCCUGGGCUCAACCCAGGAAAUGCUUCGGAUACUGGCGGACUUGAGGCUAGUAGGGGUCACUGGAACUGACGGUGGAGCGGUGAAAUGCGUAGAUAUCGUCAGGAACGCCAAUGGUGAAGACAGGUGACUGGGCUAGUUCUGACACUGAGGCACGAAAGCGUGGGGAUCAAACGGG
rnacentral:rRNA from 1 species